AAGAAUUAGAGUGAGAGUGGAUAAAAUUAGAGGAAGAAGAGGAAACAGUGGUGUUAUGCAGUGGAGAAGAAGGAGCAGGAGAAUGUGCAGGAGAAGGAGGUGGUGUAAUAUCAGGUAUGAUGGGAGGAGGUGGAACAGUAGGAUACAGUGGAGUAGAUAGAGUAGGAGGAGUAUGGUCAGGAAUAGAAGGGGUGAUAAAUUGAAAAGGAAAAGUGGACUCAUCAAAAAGAACAUCUCGACUAAUUAGAAUUCUG
rnacentral:lncRNA from 1 species